GUCAAAUUCCAACUAAAUGUCAUUUGGGUUCAGUGGCAUAAUGGCUUAAUUGAUAAAGUUUACAUUUUAUACUGUUUGAAAAGGUGCAGUUAAAGAAGUGUGAUCCCCAAUAUAAAUUAAGACAAAUUCCAGCUAAAUGUAUACUAGAUGUCACUUGGAUUCAGUAGCAUAUUAAUCGAUAAAGGCUACGUUUUAUUCUUCCGUUGUUGUUGUGAAUUGUGUAAUUUAUGGGUGAUACAGAAAAACAUUUAGGCUGUGCGAGAAGGAUUAAAUCUUAAUGCAUCUUUUCAUCAUCUAACAAAACCGUACCUUGAGGAUAAAUUUGUGUUAUAAACUGUGGACUUCAUAAAGGAUAUUUGUAUUUGUACUGCUUGUGUUAUGUUUUGUGGAAGGUGUUGUCUAUUGAACUUUUGACUUCGUUCAUGAUAAUGGUAUUAUAGGAUAGUUGUAAUUGUAUAUUCAGAUGUUGUUCUUUAUAAUAGAUAUUUGAUACCGUUUUAAUUCGUUCUAAUAGAUGUUUAACACGGUUCUAAUUCGUUCUAAUAGAUGUUUAACAAGGUUCCAAUUCAUCCUAAUAGAUGUUUGAUGCCGUUCUAAUUCGUUCUAUUACAUGUUUGACACCGUUUCUAAUAGAUGUUCAACACCGUUCCAAUUCGUUCUAAUAGAUGUUUGAUGCCGUUCUAAUUAGUUCUAUUACAUGUUUGACACCGUUCUAAUAGAUGUUUAACACCCUUUCAAUUCUACCUAAAAGAUGUUUGAUGUCGUUCUAAGUAGUUCUAUUACAUGUUUGACACCGUUCUAAUAGAUGUUUAACACCGUUUCAAUUCUACCUAAAAGAUGUUUGAUGGCGUUCUAACUAGUUCUAUUACAUGUUUGACACCGUUCUAAUAGAUGUUUAACACCGUUUCAAUUCUACCUAAAAGAUGUUUGAUGUCGUUCUAAUUAGUUCUAUUACAUGUUUGACACCGUUCUAAUAGAUGUUUAACACCGUUCCAAUUCGACCUAAAAGAUAUUUGAUGCCGUUCUAAUUCGUUCUAUUAGAUGUUUGACACCGUUCUAAUAGAUGUUUAACACCGUUCCAAUUCUACCUAAAAGAUAUUUGAUGCCGUUCUAAUUCGUUCUAUUAGAUGUUUGACACCGUUUCUAAUAGAUGUUUAACACCGUUCCAAUUCGUUCUAAUAGAUAUCUGAUAUAUUUGCUGAUAUUAAUGUGUCAUAACGGACAAUAAUUCAAUAUUUUGUCUGUGUUAACUAGUAUUUAAUGAACACGAAAGAAACAAAAUGUAUUCCUGUUAUGAAAGUUUAAUAAUUGUUUUAGUUUGGGUUGACCUAUUUUCAUAUUGCUGUGGUGAAGGCUGCCCAUCUCUCAUAGACAGAGGUCCAGUUUGUAGUGACUUCACAGCUUUAAACGAACUCAAUAUACUAGUUGAUGACAGGAUCGGUGAUGGGUGUUACUGUGACGUCAGAGUGGUAAACAGGUCAGAUAACUCUUACAUGACGAGCGUGGACAGUCCAGGCGGUAUUGACAGAUGUGGAUAUAGUGUCGACGUCACCCACACGGGUCCUCCAGUAACGUUUACGUGCAAUAAACUUAACCCUUUCUUUAUGUAUGUUAAACAAGGGGACAUAAUCAAGUUGCAUUUUAAACGCGAGGUUUCAGAAUCGUAUGAGUCACCAAACUUUUGUAUUCGAGUGGAGUCCCGAGCAUCUAUUCAAAAUGUAAGAUUUGCUAUUAAUUGUACGAGAUUAGAUUUUCUCAACACGUCAACAACACCACCAUUACUACUACCAGUUCGUACACUACCACCGACAACGAUACGUUUAAGUUGUACACUACAAGAUUGGAUUAUCUACAUAGGUACAGCUGGGGGUAUUGUAUUCAUCUUAAUAAUAAUUAUCAUUAUACUUUCCUGCAUCAUUUUGCAGAAAGAAGAUAGAUAUAAUGAACUCGAGUUCAGACUAAACGUUGCUGAAACAAAAGUUAACACCGAUAUAGAUCAUCCGACUUACGAUCAUAACAACAUAAUACCGGACGCAACGUAUGACAUGGAUGACGGGGAAACGGAACACACGUUCCAGUUGGGAGUUCCAGAUGCAGAUGACCACCCUGUUAUUACUGGUUUUCCUAAUUAUGGUGGAGAACCCAACACGCUGAAACCAAUCUAGCUUUUGAGCAUGUCACUUCAUCCAAUUUGAUUUCAGUGACAUUUGCUAAGGUGCUUUUAACAUUGACGUCUCAAGGAUCUUAAUUAUUAACAUAAAGAAACAAUUGUUCAUCAAAGUAGCUAAGUCUCUAACUCAAUAUCAUCCAAAAUCUUCAACAUUGAAAACACGAUUUAUUUGUCAAAUUAAAUCAACAUUCAUGUUGUGAUCUUACCGGAAAAAGAUGGGCUUUUGAUACCCAAUAUUUAAGACAAAAUAAACAUUUUACCAUUGGUACACGAAUCGUGUACCAUAAUGCGCUUCAGCCCCAGUUGUAACAAGAGACUCGAGGGACGAGGCUAGACACAUUGCACCAAAUCAAACGGCGUAUGUAGACUGGAAUAACCAGACGCUAGAAAUUUGCACUCGCUUGAGACUGCUGGCUUAUUUCGCCGAACAUAACUGAUUUGAAAUUGGAGUAAAAACCGAAACCAUUGAAUGUAAAUCAGUUUAAAUACAUUCAUAUUACAGUAUUAUUUGCGUUGCGACCCACUUUUGUCAAUUUCUAGGUCCCAAAUGUUAGCGAUUUAGCUCCUUUAAAAUAAAUUUAACAUAUUUUUAAAAAGAGGAUAGUUGUUAUAUCACAAAUUAUUUAAAUUUGACCGUUUUAUUAUUAAUCAAUGGAUGGAAUUUGUUGAAGCAUCACACUUUAAAAAUCAUUAAUGUCAGAAUAAAACACCAAUUAUAUGAAAUGUUCAUUAUUAUCCAGUAAAUAAACGAUAUCCCCCUCAUA